rfam:Aspergillus terreus NIH2624 scaffold_4 genomic scaffold, whole genome shotgun sequence.
GGACUGGUAGCUCAGUGGUCAGAGCGAGCGGUGUCGGCAAUCAGUGCUCUCUUGGUCGGGGCUAGUCCCUGCUCGGAGGACCGCCUCCGAACGCAGAGCCUGCUUUCCGGCGCCGCUAGGGCGUGGGUUCGAAUCCCACUCAGUCCA